rnacentral:rRNA from 1 species
UGCGUAGGUGGCGCCGUCAGUGGGGUGUGAAAUUUCGGAGCUUAACUCCGAAACUGCAUUCCAUACUGCGGUGCUCGAGGACUGGAGAGGAGACUGGAAUUCAUGGUGUAGCAGUGAAAUGCGUAGAGAUCAUGAGGAAGACCAGUGGCGAAGGCGGGUCUCUGGACAGUUCCUGACACUGAGGCACGAAGGCUAGGGGAGCGAACG